UGGGGAAUAUUGCACAAUGGGCGCAAGCCUGAUGCAGCCAUGCCGCGUGUGUGAAGAAGGCCUUCGGGUUGUAAAGCACUUUCAGCGGGGAGGAAGGCGUUAAGGUUAAUAACCUUGGCGAUUGACGUUACCCGCAGAAGAAGCACCGGCUAACUCCGUGCCAGCAGCCGCGGUAAUACGGAGGGUGCAAGCGUUAAUCGGAAUUACUGGGCGUAAAGCGCACGCAGGCGGUCUGUCAAGUCGGAUGUGAAAACCCCGGGCUCAACCUGGGAACUGCAUUCGAAACUGGCAGGCUAGAGUCUUGUAGAGGGGGGUAGAAUUCCAGGUGUAGCGGUGAAAUGCGUAGAGAUCUGGAGGAAUACCGGUGGCGAAGGCGGCCCCCUGGACAAAGACUGACGCUCAGGUGCGAAAGCGUGGGGAGCAAACAGG
rnacentral:rRNA from 1 species